CAAAGCUCGUCGCGUGCAACAGGACGACAAACGUGGAAGUUCAGCAGUGGUCCCGAGAAGGCAGAGUGAGAAGGAAGAAGGUGACAGCGAUUUUGACGCCGACACGGAUGUCGACGCAAACGAUGAAGACUACGACACCGAGGAGGAGAUUCAAAAAGUGAUGCAGCGGCAGCAGAAGCAAGAGACGGAAGCAUCGAAACACGUGGGCUCCGACGCCGAUCCCCU